AGUCGAGGGGCAGCAUGGUCUUAGCUUGCUAAGGCCGAUGGCGACCGGCGCACGGGUGAGUAACACGUAUCCAACCUGCCGUCUACUCUUGGACAGCCUUCUGAAAGGAAGAUUAAUACAAGAUGGCAUCAUGAGUCCGCAUGUUCACAUGAUUAAAGGUAUUCCGGUAGACGAUGGGGAUGCGUUCCAUUAGAUAGUAGGCGGGGUAACGGCCCACCUAGUCUUCGAUGGAUAGGGGUUCUGAGAGGAAGGUCCCCCACAUUGGAACUGAGACACGGUCCAAACUCCUACGGGAGGCAGCAGUGAGGGAUAUUGGUCAAUGGGCGAGAGCCUGAACCAGCCAAGUAGCGUGAAGGAUGACUGCCCUAUGGGUUGUAAACUUCUUUUAUAAAGGAAUAAAGUCGGGUAUGGAUACCCGUUUGCAUGUACUUUAUGAAUAAGGAUCGGCUAACUCCGUGCCAGCAGCCGCGGUAAUACGGAGGAUUCGAGCGUUAUCCGGAUUUAUUGGGUUUAAAGGGAGCGCAGAUGGAUGUUUAAGUCAGUUGUGAAAGUUUGCGGCUCAACCGUAAAAUUGCAGUUGAUACUGGAUAUCUUGAGUGCAGUUGAGGCAGGCGGAAUUCGUGGUGUAGCGGUGAAAUGCUUAGAUAUCACGAAGAACUCCGAUUGCGAAGGCAGCCUGCUAAGCUGCAACUGACAUUGAGGCUCGAAAGUGUGGGUAUCAAACAGGAUUAGAUACCCUGGUAGUCCACACGGUAAACGAUGAAUACUCGCUGUUUGCGAUAUACUGCAAGCGGC
rnacentral:rRNA from 1 species